rnacentral:rRNA from 1 species
UACAGAGGGUGCGAGCGUUGUUCGGAAUUAUUGGGCGUAAAGGGCGCGUAGGCGGUGCGGUAAGUCACCUGUGAAAUCUCCUGGCUCAACUGGGAGCUUGCAGGCGAAACUGCCGUGCUGGAGUGUGGGAGAGGUGCGUGGAAUUCCCGGUGUAGCGGUGAAAUGCGUAGAUAUCAGGAGGAACACCUGCGGUGUAGACGGCUUUCUGGACCAUUACUGACGCUGAGAUACGAAAGCGUGGGUAGCAAACAGG